UGAUGUAUUUGAACAUCUGCAGUGGGAAUUCCAAGUCGGACCAUCUGUUGGCAUUUCAGCUGGAGACGAGCUGUGGAUAGCUCGUUACAUAUUGGAGAGGAUCACUGAGAUUGCUGGAGUUGUUGUAUCAUUCGACCCCAAGCCCAUCGAGGUGCAAACCAGGAUUCCACACAAUUCCUCUCUCCGCUGUAAGAUUUGCUUCUUCCAUUUCUAAGUAGAUGGUUUACUACAGUUAUUGGCUCCAUAUGUGAAUACAUUUUUUCUUCUAUAUUUCAUCAUUUG